CUACGGAGUACACAUCUUAUAAUUUGGUUAUUUAAAAAUCCUUUAUUUUGAUUUAUUUUUAUAUUAAUAAAGGUUAUUAUGGGCUUACCAAAAAGUUUUGUAUCUAGUUUUGAAAGAUUUAAUCUUUCUAUAAAUUAUAUUUUUAAAUAUAGUUCUUUGAAAACUGAAUAGCAAAUAUUGAAAUUUUAAAUUUCAUAAUAUUUCAACAACGACAUUACAAAAAACCGAGUCUAACUGUAUUAAACAGUUAGUACAAUUUAAAUACCUUAGAUAUUAAUCUAAAACAAUAGGCUUAAAAAAUAAGUUAUAUUAG
rnacentral:misc_RNA from 1 species